CAGUAGCCACGGGAAUACGUAGGUGGCAAGCGUUGUCCGGAAUUAUUGGGCGUAAAGGGCUCGCAGGCGGUUUCUUAAGUCUGAUGUGAAAGCCCCCGGCUCAACCGGGGAGGGUCAUUGGAAACUGGGAAACUUGAGUACAGAAGAGGAGAGUGGAAUUCCACGUGUAGCGGUGAAAUGCGUAGAGAUGUGGAGGAACACCGGUGGCGAAGGCGACUCUCUGGUCUGUAACUGACGCUGAGGAGCGAAAGCGUGGGGAGCGAACAGGAUUAGAUACCCCCGUAGUCCCUGUCUCUUAUAC
rnacentral:rRNA from 1 species